GAUGAAGAACGUAGCGAAAUGCGAUAAGUAAUGUGAAUUGCAGAAUUCAGUGAAUCAUCGAAUCUUUGAACGCACAUUGCGCCCGCCAGUAUUCUGGUGGGCAUGCCUGUUCGAGCGUCAUUUCAACCAUCAAGCCCCCGGCUUGUGUUGGGGACCUGCGGCUGCCGCAGGCCCUGAAAACCAGUGGCGGGCUCGCUAGUCACUCCGAGCGUAGUAAUACAUCUCGCUCAGGGCGUGCUGCGGGUUCCGGCCGUUAAAAAAGCCUUAUUUACCCAAGGUUGACCUCGGAUCAGGUAGGAAGACCCGCUGAACUUAAGCAUAUCAAUAAGCGGAGGA
rnacentral:misc_RNA from 1 species